AUGGAAAAGAAGGAUGCUAAAACUAGACUUAUUAGAUGGGUUUUCUUGCUACAAGAAUUUGAUUUGCAUAUUAUUGAUAGAAAGGGAGCUGAGAACCCCGUUGCAGACAACUUGUUUAGGUUAGAAAAUGUUCUUGAUGACUCACUAUCUAUUGAUGAUAGCUUUCCUGAUGAACAAUUAGCUGUCAUAAAUGCUUCUCGUAUUGCUCCAUGGUAUGCUCAUUACAUUGUUGCUAAAUUUAUACCACCUAGUUUCACAUACCAGCAAAAGAAAAAAAAAUUCUAUAAUUUAAGAGAUUACUUCUGGGAUGACCCAUACCUUUAUAAAGGAGUAGAUGGUGUUAUUAGACGUUGUGUACCUGAGCAUGAACAUGAACAGAUCCUACGCAAGUGUCACUCCGAGACUUAUGGAGGACACCAUGCUGGAGAUAGAACUGCACAUAAGGUAUUGCAAUCCGGUUUUUAUUGGCCUACUCUCUUUAAGGAUGCCCGUAAUUUUAUCUUAUCUUGUGAUGAAUGUCAAAGAAUUGGUAAUAUUAGUAGACGUCAAGAAAUGCCUAUGAAUUACUCACUUCUUAUUGAACCAUUUGAUGUUUGUGGCUUUGAUUAUAUGAGAUUGUUUCCUUCCUCUAAUGGCUAUACACAUAUUUUAGUUGAUGUUGGUUACGUUACUAAGUGGGUAGAAGCUAUUCCAACUAGUAGUGUUGAUCAUAACACCUCUAUUAAGAUGCUUAAAGACGUUAUUUUUCCGAGGUUUGGAGUCCCUAGAUACUUAAUGAUUGAUGGUGGUUCUCAUAUUAUUCAUGGUGUUUUUCGUAAACUGCUUGCUAAGUAUGAUGUUAAUCAUAGAAUUGCAUCUCCAUAUCAUCCACAAUCUAGUGAUCAAGUAGAACUGAGUAAUAGAGAGCUUAAAUUAAUUUUGCAAAAGACUUUAUAG
rnacentral:rRNA from 1 species